rnacentral:lncRNA from 1 species
AGAAAUUGAAACAAGAUAUUAGAAGUGAAGAUUCAACGUGAUAAAUGUAGAGUUUCUCUCUCAAAAUCCAUUUCAUUCUUACUACAAAACACCUUAUUUACUGAAUUAAUGUAGGGUAAGAGAAAGACUUUAUCAAGUGUGGUAAUGUCUAUUUGUAUAACGUACACUUAGAUUAAUCUAACGGUUAAGUUAAAUGGUACACCGGUGAGAGACUUGAUAGAGUCCUCACCUUAGAAUCCAC